GGUCAAAAGUUGUGAGGGCGGGAACGUCCGGGUAAACGUCCCUGCCAUUCAGGUUGGAUUAUUUUGAUAGCAACCAGUGGAAAGAAAUAGGUAUGUCAAUUGUCCAGAGGAAAAAACAAUGCUAUCAGCGUGUGAGUGGAUCGUCGCUACACUGUUGUGUACCUCAAUGUUCGUGUUCCUCAUGCUAUAAUUCUAAAGUUAGCUUUCACAGCUUCCCUGCUGAUAAUGUAGCACGUCAGCAAUGGCUAGCCAAAAUCCGGAGGGAUAACUUUAGUCCCACUAGAGACACACGGGUAUGUAGCCGACAUUUCUUACCCGAGGAUCUGAUAGAUACACCGGGGGGGAGGAGAUGGUUAAAAAGGGGUGCUAUUCCCAUUUUUUUUGAGUGGAACAACAACUCAUUGCCUGAGAAAAGACCCGGUGUGUGGGACCGUAGGCCUCGGGAGGAAUCUGUCGCUGCAGAUCCGCAUAUGGACCCUUCUGAAUCGGAGAUUGUGUUUGUAGCUCCUGAUCAUGAUUACUGUGUUUCACUGAAAACCAGAGUAAUGGCCAAUGAGUUACAGAUUGAAAUGCGGCUCUGCACAAGAGAAUUGAACAGCUACAGAGUCAAGUGGAAGGACUGCAGCUGCGGAUCCGUUUUGGUUUGGAGCGCUUUGCAGGCUCAGACGAUGAAAUCAGGUUCUAUACCAGAUUUGCUUCAUACAACCAGUUCCAAUGUUUCUGGAAGCUUGUGGAGUCUGCUGUGAAGACCAAGAUGAUUCGGGUCACCAAUACCAAGGCCUCCAUAGCUGACUCUGACAGAUUUCACACAUACACGAAACUUCCUCCUAUUGAUGAGCUGUUCCUUUUCUUGAUGUACCUGUCCUUGGGUCAGCCACACAGAGAUCUUACUGAAAGGUUUGGCAUCCACCGAACAACUGUAAGCAGGAUCAUCACUACAUGGGCCAACUUUCUAUACCACCUGCUUGGAAGCCAACGCCUCUGGUUGCCCAAGGAGGUGGUGCAUGCUCGACUUCCAGCAGAGUUUGCUUCAUACCCUGACACCUAGGUAGUGCUUGAUUGCACUAAAAUCUACUGCCAGACACCAUCGGAUCUCCUAUUGCAGAGUGAGGUGUUUUCUGCAUACAAGUCCCACUCUACACUCAAAGCCAUGAUCGGCAUGGCACCUCUUGGUGCCAUCACAUUUGUCUCUGCCCUUUUUGCUGGAUCCAUGAGUGAUUGUGAGAUCUUCAAGCAAUCAGGCAUAACCAAUGUAUUAGAGCCAGACAUGGCAAUAAUGGUUGACAAGGGCUUUCUAGUUGACAAUCUGGCUCCCUGCAAAGUAUAUAGGCCAGCCUUCCUCUCAGGGAAAAAUCAGAUGAGCCCACAUGAUGUUCAUGAGACUCAGUCCAUUGCUCGGCUGAGGGUCCAUGUAGAACGCUGCAUCAGGAGAGUGAAGGAGAACAAACUUUUUGACCGCGUACUAUCAGUGUCUGUGUGUGGGAUCAUUGAUGAGCUCUUCAACGUGGCUUGCUACCUGGUAAAUUACCAGUAUGGGCCCCUCGUGAAGGCAUGGGCAAGUUAAAGCAGUAAAUACAAUGUCAACAGUUAAAUUCUCAGAUGUUUAAUGAAAUGGUAUAGAUUUAGAUGCGAUGGCAAAAAGAUAAAUGUGGGUGCUGGUUAAUUUUGUUUCUCAAACUGUUAAAUAGGCUUCUUCAGGUGAUAUGUUCAAUUAAAAUACUUUGCAAAACUA